rnacentral:tRNA from 1 species
GCGUCGGCUGGGCACUGGCGAGCCCCGGUGGCCGUAACCCACCCGCCCCGAGCUUUGCAGGUUCGACUCCUGCCCGACGCA